GGGCAGGGCACCGGGAUGGCACUCGUACUUGGGCUGAGGCUAGGACUAGGAGUAGGAACUCAAUAACUCAGGAACCAGAAUCUCAGUCCUGGUCUCCCAUGUUGCUGGUGGCAGGAACCCAGUUACUGGAGGCAUCAUUGCUGCCUCUCAGGGUCUGCACUGGCAGAAAGUUGGAGUCGGGAGCAAAACUGUUAAAGUUGAGCCAGGAACCAGAACCGUUAAUCGAACCCAAGCACUCCAAUGUGGGAUGCAGGUGUCAACCACUAUGGAAAAUGUCCCAUUUUUGCCUUUAUUUUUGAACCUAUAUAUUUCCUCCUUGUAAUUUCUUUAUUUUUUUUUUUUUUAUUUUUGACAGGCAGAGUGGACAGUGAGAGAGAGAGACAGAGAGAGAAAGGUCUUCCUUUUGCCGUUGGUUCACCCUCCAAUGGCCGCCGCUGCAGCCGGCGCACCGUGCUGAUCCGAUGGCAGGAGCCAGGAUCCAGGUGCUUUUCCUGGUCUCCCAUGGGGUGCAGGGCCCAAGCACCUGGGCCAUCCUCCACUGCACUCCCUGGCCAUAGCAGAGAGCUGGCCUGGAAGAGGGGCAACCGGGACAGAAUCCGGCGCCCCGACCGGGACUAGAACCCGGUGUGCCGGCGCCGCAAGGUGGAGGAUUAGCCUAUUGAGCCACGGCGCCGGCCCUCCUCCUUGUAAUUUCAACAUUUUAUUUUCUUUUUGACAGGCAGAGUGGACAGUGAGAGAGAGAGACAGAGAGAAAGGUCUUCCUUUUUUGCCGUUGGUUCACCCUCCAAUGGCCGCCGCGGCCGGCGCGCUGCGGCCGGCGCACCGCGCUGAUCCGAUGGCAGGAGCCAGGAGCCAGGUGCUUUUCCUGGUCUCCCAUGGGGUGCAGGGCCCAAGCACCUGGGCCAUCCUCCACUGCACUCCCUGGCCAUAGCAGAGAGCUGGCCUGGAAGAGGGGCAACCGGGACAGAAUCCGGCGCCCCAACCGGGACUAGAACCCGGUGUGCCGGCGCCGCAAGGUGGAGGAUUAGCCUAUUGAGCCACGGCGCCGGCUAAAAUCUUUUUU